rnacentral:tRNA from 1 species
GCCCAGCUAGCUCAGUUGGUAGAGCAUGAGACUGUUAAUCUCAGGGUUGUGGGUUCGUGCCCCACGCAGCUGGCGGUGGCA